rnacentral:rRNA from 1 species
GUGAAUCAUCGAAUCUUUGAACGCACCUUGCGCUCCUUGGUAUUCCGAGGAGCAUGCCUGUUUGAGUGUCAUUAAAUUCUCAACUUUGCUUGUCUUUUCGAGCAAAGCUUGGAUUUUGGAGCGUGCUGGCGAAGGUCGGCUCCUCUUAAAUGCAUCAGCGGAAUCUAACGUUUCGGACGUCAGUGUGAUAAUCAUGUUGCGCUGUCUGUCUGAUCCGAAAGCCCGCUCACAAUGGUCUUCGGACAACUUCAUAUCAAAUUUGACCUCAAAUCAGGUAGGACUACCCGCUGAACUUAAGCAUAUCAAUAAGCGGAGG